rnacentral:lncRNA from 1 species
GGCACUGGUAUCUGCAUACGUUUCUUUCCACGCCCCCACGUCCCGUCCCCCACCCAAUUUGGAACCGGUUCGAGAGAAAAGAGGAGGGAGGAUGAGCCUACUUGUUAGAAAAUUACAGCAAAAUGCUCGUCACAUGUACGUGAUCAAACAUAUGUUAAGGUGGCUGCUAGGAGAGUUGGACAAUAACAAUUGUCCCUUGUCACACUCUCCUUUAUUAGAUACCGGUAUGAUGCCCAGAGGACAGUGAUUUCACAUGUGCAGCAAUGACACUCUGGGUGUCAUUGCAUAUAGCCUUCUGUCCAGUGGAUGCGCUGGGUUCCUCUAGGUAACAGUGGGCAAGAUGCCGUGUCUAAACUUUGCACCCAGCUCCCGAGAUGCUGGGGCACCGAGAGGGGGCUCCAGGACAUGUGCUUGCAGGAUCCUGAGCCUGGUACUUCUGUCAAGCUUCCCACAACAGAUAUUCUCCACGAUCAUGCCCCAUCUUCUUAGCAGCAAUUUUGACACGUCCCUUGGCAUGGCCGUAUUCAAUUUUAAUUUCUCAGUGUGCAAAACUGAGUUCCAGGUCUUCUGGUCCAGACAAGAGAGCACUGACUCAUUUCUGCUCGUGUCUACAAGUUCAUCUGUAAACUCCAGAAACAGCACAGAUACAGUCACGGGAAGACUCCAGAGUGGAAAGAGGGAAGCAGUCCGGUCCAGCACUCAGGGCUCCAAGAGUAUCCCAGUGCAGGGGGCUUAGGACCCCAUGCAACAGAAGGAGGCCCAGGCGUGCUCCUUCCUUCCUGGAUGAUACAAGUCAGCCCAUGGCACCUACAAGUAUGUCUUUGUAGAACCUUGCUGACAUGAGAGGCCAGGGGACAGGCUCUCCUUCCCAAUGGGCCUAAGACCUCCUUCUUGCCCUAGU